GCCAGGCAUGGUGGUGCAUGCCUGUAAUCCUAGCUACUUGGGAGGCUGAGGCAUGAGAAUCACUUGAACCCAGGAGGCGGAGGUUGCGGUGAGCUGAGAUCACCACUGCACUCCAGCCUGGGCGACAGAGUGAGACCCUGUCUCAA
rnacentral:SRP_RNA from 2 species